UGUUCAGCACAAUCAUCUUCAGACGCCUGGGAUUUCACCACGCAUAAUGAUACACUGACAUCUCAGAAAACAAAACUUAAUUUCAGUGGUGUGACAAGAAUCGUAGAGAUACCUGGGGAAGGAGGCCCAUUGGGGAUACAUGUGGUACCCUACUUUUCAUCAUUAAGUGGAAGGAUUUUAGGACUCUUCAUCCGUGGUAUUGAGGAAAAUAGCCGGUCUAAGCGAGAUGGACUUUUCCAUGAAAAUGAAUGCAUUGUGAAAAUUAACAAUAUUGAACUUGCAGAUAAAACCUU